GACGAACGCUGGCGGCGUGCCUAACACAUGCAAGUUGAGCGACGAACCAGGGCUUGCCCUGGGGCAAAGCAGCGAACGGGUGAGUAACACGUGGGUAACCUACCCCGAUAACCGGGACAACCCGAGGAAACUCGGGCUAAUACCGGAUGUGCUCACUGGACUUCGGUUCAGUGCGUAAAGGAAGCUUCGGCCUCCGUAUCGGGAGGGGCCCGCGGCCCAUUAGGUUGUUGGUGAGGUAACGGCUCACCAAGACCGCGAUGGGUAGCUGGUCUGAGAGGACGAUCAGCCACACUGGGACUGAGACACGGCCCAGACUCCUACGGGAGGCAGCAGUGGGGAAUCUUGCGCAAUGCGCGAAAGCGUGACGCAGCAACGCCGCGUGGGGGAAGAAGGCCUUCGUGUUGUAAACCCCUUUCAGGAGGGACGAAGGUUCGGCGGUGAAUAGCCGUCCGGACUGACGGUACCUCCACAAGAAGCCCCGGCUAACUACGUG
rnacentral:rRNA from 1 species